CAGCCGCCACGGGAAUACGUAGGUGGCAAGCGUUGUCCGGAAUUAUUGGGCGUAAAGGGCUCGCAGGCGGUUUCUUAAGUCUGAUGUGAAAGCCCCCGGCUCAACCGGGGAGGGUCAUUGGAAACUGGGAAACUUGAGUGCAGAAGAGGAGAGUGGAAUUCCACGUGUAGCGGUGAAAUGCGUAGAGAUGUGGAGGAACACCAGUGGCGAAGGCGACUCUCUGGCCUGUAACUGACGCUGAGGAGCGAAAGCGUGGGGGGCGAACAGGAUUAGAGACCCGUGUAGUCCCUGUCUCUUAUAC
rnacentral:rRNA from 1 species